UCAGUGGAGGAUCCAGAUUAAUAAACGGAGGGGCAGAAUAUAUAUUACUAGUUUGGUUUAGGGUGGAAAUGACUAUUUUUUUAAUCAUCUGGGCGAGGAGGGGGCAGUCACCCCCUAGAUUCGCCAGUGCUCCAACUAAAAUAGUACCACGACCCUAUCCUAUGCUACAUUUCAUCAUUAUUUUGUCUAACAAACCAAACAACCACAUUGUAAUAGUACUCUUGAAUAUUAGCACAUCCAUUCUAGCACCAAAAUGCAGUCAAAUUCACAUCCCAUCUAUCUCUCAUCCUCGGAGAAAUUGAUCCUUAGAGAUCACCAGUCUUCGUAGUUUGCUUCAGCUUCUUUUUCGUGCCAAACAUUUACCAUCAAUUUUGGUAGUUACAAGGGGAAAUCAGAUGGCGUCAUAGCUAGGGUAACCGAGGAUACCUUCUAGAGCCCCCAAAUCAAAGAGCUCUGCCGAAACGUUGGUGCUCAGCUUGCUUUUCGCGCUUUGGGGCAUUUUUAAUAUUUACUUCGAUAUCUAUAACAAGCAGGUAUAGGGAACAUCUUGACAAGAGGAGGAGUGCCCUAUCUGGACUACUCUCUCUUGGAGGCUUGUGGCUGAAAAAAUCGAGAAGAAGAUAAAGAUGACGGAUUUUGAUAUCUUUGCUAUUUCUAGCUAAGUCUCCAAAUGCUUAAAGUGGAGAUGUUGCGUGUAGUAGAAUAAGGCAUUACUUAUCAUCAUAUUAUAUGAUCGAUCCAGAAAGUAAAACUCGUGGGAUCGGAUACUGAUAUUACUUAUCUAUAAAUAUAUUUAAUUACGAUCA